CCAGGGUCUAUCAACCAUCAAAUAAAUCAAGACCAACCUUCAUGAAAGCUAUAGUACAUUAAACCACAUGGGAUCAUACCACCAUCACACUCUCAUCAUCUCUACACAACUACCUAUAUACUCUACCUCUCUGUCAAUGUUCUUCCUCUGGUGCUCCAUUUUUCAUGUUUUUCUUUUUUAACCAAUUGUCACCUCCCUCUCUUUCCAGUUUCUUACUACGACAGUCGCCUCUAUGCUCUCUCCACGUUUACCUCCAUUGGUCGCGGUCGAUGAAUCGAUUCCGACAACUGAGAUUGUCCAGAUCUACAAAAUCAAUUCUCUCUUUUUCUCUAUCUAUCUCUUUCUCUUUGACGAGAUUAAUAAGUUAUAUUGUAGUGACAGGAUUAACAGAUCUGAGGGAGACGAUGGGGAGAGGCAACGGAAUUGAGAGAGGCAGUGGAUAGGGAUGGCAGAUCUGAGGAAAUGGAGAUGGGUGAGUGACGAAUCCGAAGAAGUGUAGUAAAGGCGGCUGCAUAUCUGAGGGCGGAGUGCGAUGGAUUUGAGUGAGGCGGUGGCGUGUGAGGGUGAACCAUGGUGGAUUCGAGAAAAGUGAUGGUAGGAGAGAUGGGGAGUGGUGGAGGAAGAGGACUGCCGAGGCAGAUGUAAAGAUGGGUUGCGGGUUGAGCGACUUGUUUGUGGUAUAGGCAGCAGUGAGGGGGAGGAGAGGGUGUGUUUCAAUUUUUAUUUUAUUUUAUUUUUUUAUUAAAUAUAAAUUUGUAAUAAAUUUUGUUACAUAAUGAUCAGUGUAAUGACAAAAAUACCCCUUUUCCGUUAAUUGCAUCUAUAGGGAUUUUUAAUCUCAAA